GAUCAGAUACCGUCGUAGUCCACACCCUAAACUAUGUCGACUAGUGAUUGGUAGAUUAGCAGAUAUGAAAGUUUUUGGACUCUGGGGGAAGUAUGGUCGCAAGGUUGAAACUUAAAGGAAUUGACGGAACGGCACCACAAGGGGUAGAGCGUGCGGCUUAAUUUGACUCAACGCGGGGAACCUUACUAGGGUAAGACAUUAAUAUGAUUGACAAACUAUUUGAUUUUUCUUGAUUUAAUGGGUGGUGGUGCAUGGCCGAUCUUAGUUGGUGGGGUGACUUGUCUGGUUAAUUCCGAUAACGAACGAGAUCCGAGCAGUUUUGUUGCGUUCCUAAAUGGACCAUCAGAAUAGAAGGAAGUGACGGGCUAAAUCAGGUCUGUGAUGCCCUUCGAUACUCUAGGCGGCACGCGCGCUACAUUGGAUAAGAAAAUAUGUACGCUGAUAAGCGGAAUGAAUCAUUAAUUUUAUGUCGUAAAUGGGAUAGUUUAUUGCAAUUGACAAACUUUAACUAGGAAUCCCUUGUAGAUGUAUUGAAUCAUAAUAUAUCGAAUACGUCCCUGCCGUUUGUACACACCGCCCGUCGUUUCUUCCGACUGGUACUCAUUGUGAAUUACGAGGUGAAUCGUUGUGAAUGCUGGGUACUGGAGGAAGAAAAAGUCGUAACAAGGUUAUCGUAGGUGAACCUGCAGAAGGAUCA
rnacentral:rRNA from 1 species